AACUAAACGUGUGCUGCAGCAGAAACAAUGCUAAACAAAAUGGAUGUCAGGAAAUAAUAUAAAUUAUCCUAGUCACUGAAUAAAAUGAACAACAGAGAAAAACAUCCCUAGGUUAUGUUGAGUCUGACCACUGUUGAGCCAUGCUGGACAGAGCAAUGAAUGACAAACAAAUGCUUUUCAUGUAUUUGUAUGUGAAUCCUUAGUGAAACAUCAACUAGACCCUCAUUAGAAUCUCGUGUAAUGCAUACUUGAAUAAAAAUCUAACUCUCCUUCUCCUUAGGCCCAUUAUAAUUAGGCACUCCAAUAAAAGUAGGGCUUCAUUUC